rnacentral:lncRNA from 1 species
UAACACUUUACCUGUUCCAGCACCAGUUUCACACACUACACCACCUAUAUCUCCAGAACCUGUUUUUCCUUCUUCUAUUAUUAAUGAGGUUUCCCCUGAUUCUCCUAUAAUGGAAAAUGCUCAUCCUAUGAUAACUCGGUCCAAAGCUGGAGUGUUUAAACCUAAGACUUAUACAACUACUGUCUCUUAUGCUCAUGAACCAGUCUCUCUUAAAGCUGCCUU